CCCUUAGAUGUUCUGGGCCGCACGCGCGCUACACUGAUGCAUUCAACGGGCCUAGCCUUGACCGAGAGGUCCGGGUAAUCUUUGAAACUGCAUCGUGAUGGGGCUAGAUUAUUGCAAUUAUUAAUCUUCAACGAGGAAUGCCUAGUAAGCGUGAUUCAUCAAAUCGCGUUGAUUACGUCCCUGCCCUUUGUACACACCGCCCGUCGCUCCUACCGAUUGAGUGUGUUGGUGAGGAGUUUGGAUUGGCCUCGGAAGGUGGUUCGCCACCGUCCGUAGCUGAGAAGUUCUCCAAACCGCCCCACUUAGAGGAAGGAGAAGUCGUAACA
rnacentral:rRNA from 1 species